UCUGUCUUCUGGCGUGGUAGCGGAGCGUUCCGUAGGCCGGUGAAGGUGAGCCGUGAGGCUUGCUGGAGGUAUCGGAAGUGCGAAUGCUGACAUGAGUAGCGUAAACGAGGGUGAGAAACCCUCGCGCCGAAAGUCCAAGGGUUCCUGCGCAAGGUUAAUCCGCGCAGGGUUAGCCGGUCCCCUAAGGCGAGGGCGAAGGCCGUAGCCGAUGGGAAUGGGGUUAAUAUUCCCCAGCCUGCCGGGGCGCGACGACUGGGAUAAGUGUGUCGUCCCUUAUCGGAUUGGGGCGGCUGCGGACCUAGUCCAGGAAACAGCGCCGGCGAUAUAGACCGUACCCGAAACCGACACUGGUGGACUGGUAGAGCAUACCAGGCGCUUGAGAGAACGGUGUUGAAGGAACUCGGCAAAUUGCCCCCGUAACUUCGGGAGAAGGGGGCCCCGUCUGCGGGCAACCGCGGGCGGGGGGCACAGACGAGGGGGUGGCGACUGUUUACUAAAAACACAGGGCUCUGCGAAGUCGCAAGACGACGUAUAGGGUCUGACGCCUGCCCGGUGCCGGAAGGUUAAGAGGAGGGGUGCAAGCUCCGAAUCGAAGCCCCGGUAAACGGCGGCCGUAACAAUAACGGUCCUAAGGUAGCGAAAUUCCUUGUCGGGUAAGUUCCGACCUGCACGAAGGGCGUAACGACUUCCCCGCUGUCUCCAACACCGGCUCAGCGAAAUUGAAUUCUCCGUGAAGAUGCGGAGUACCCGCGGUCAGACGGAAAGACCCCGUGCACCUUUACUACAGCUUUGCAGUGGUAUUAGGGAUUAUAUGUGUAGGAUAGGUGGGAGCCUUUGAAGCCCUGGCGCCAGUUGGGGUGGAGGCACCCUUGAAAUACCACCCUUAUGGUCUCUGAUAUCUAACCGCGGCCCGUGAACCCGGGUCCGGGACCCUGCAUGGCGGGUAGUUUGACUGGGGCGGUCGCCUCCCAAAGAGUAACGGAGGCGCGCGAUGGUGGGCUCAGGCUGGUCGGAAAUCAGCCUUUGAGUGCAAUGGCAUAAGCCCGCCUGACUGCGAGAGCGACAGCUCGAGCAGAGACGAAAGUUGGCCAUAGUGAUCCGGUGGUCCCGCGUGGAAGGGCCAUCGCUCAACGGAUAAAAGGUACGCCGGGGAUAACAGGCUGAUGACGCCCAAGAGUCCAUAUCGACGGCGUCGUUUGGCACCUCGAUGUCGGCUCAUCACAUCCUGGGGCUGGAGCAGGUCCCAAGGGUAUGGCUGUUCGCCAUUUAAAGUGGUACGUGAGCUGGGUUUAGAACGUCGUGAGACAGUUCGGUCCCUAUCUGCCGUGGGUGUUUGAGACUUGCGAGGCGCUCUCCCUAGUACGAGAGGACCGGGAGGGACGCACCUCUGGUGUACCGGUUGUGGCGCCAGCCGCACCGCCGGGUAGCUACGUGCGGACGGGAUAACCGCUGAAAGCAUCUAAGCGGGAAACCCCCCUCAAAACCAGGUCUCGCUUGAGAGCCGUGGUAGACCACCACGUCGAUAGGCCGGAGGUGGAAGCAGGGCAACCUGCGCAGCUGACCGGUACUAAUCGCUUGA
rnacentral:rRNA from 1 species